rnacentral:misc_RNA from 1 species
GAUGAAGAACGUAGCGAAAUGCGAUACUUGGUGUGAAUUGCAGAAUCCCGUGAACCAUCGAGUCUUUGAACGCAAGUUGCGCCCGAAGCCAUCAGGUUGAGGGCACGUCUGCCUGGGCGUCACAUAUCGUUGCCCAAUGCCUAUUGCAGUGCAAUAGGAAUUUCUAGGGCGAAUGAUGGCUUCCCGUGAGCGUUGUUGCCUCGCGGUUGGUUGAAAAUCGAGUCCUUGGUAGGGUGUGCCAUGGUAGAUGGUGGUCGAGUUAGAACGAUACCGAUCAUGUGCAUGCUCCCCAAAAUAUGGCCUCUAUGACCCACACGCGUCUUUUGACGCUCAUGACGAGACCUCAGGUCAGGCGGGGCUACCCGCUGAAUUUAAGCAUAUCAAUAAGCGGAGGA